AUGAUCAUUUUUACUGUGCUGCUGCUCUCAGCUCUUAAAGGUAAAGUUUUCAGAGUUUUUGAAAAAGCUGAAGACGUCAUCACUCCAGACAGAGACAUUGUUUUUGCUGUUGAAGGUCAAAAUGUUACACUUUCCUGUAACUACAGUGGAACUGAAUACGGUGUUCACUGGUAUCGACAGUAUUCAGAUUCACCUCCACAGUUCCUCAUACUGGACAAUUCUGGGAGUGAUCCUCUUCCUCCUCGUAUGUCUGCUGAAGUGGAUAAAGACAAAAAGCGUGUGGAUCUGUUGAUCUCCUCUGCUGCAGUAUCAGACUCUACACUCUACUACUGUGCCUUGAGGUCCACAGUGACAGGAAACCCAGCAACACUGUACAAGAACCUGUGUGGAUGUGACAAUUCAACUCAGGUUACACCUAGUAUACAGACUGUGUGA